rnacentral:rRNA from 1 species
GACAGAGGUGCCAAGCGUUAGGCGGAAUCACUGGGCUUAAAGCGUGUGUAGGCGGAUGCCUAAGUAUCUUGUGAAAUCCCACGGCUCAACCGUGGAACUGCUUGAUAUACUGGGUGUCUUGAGCCAUCUAGGGGCUACCGGAACAAAUGGUGGAGCGGUGAAAUGCGUAGAUAUCUGGAGGAACACCGGUGGCGAAGGCGGCAUCCUGGACCGAGAUUGACGCUGAUGCGCGAAAGCCAGGGGAGGCAAACGGG